GGGGGGGGGUCUGUUAUUCCCUUAACCCUACAGCCACCCUAUGUCACGCUGCUGCCUCCCUGCUGCUGGGCCUGACCCUAUUGGAACAAUGGGAUCUCAGCGCCUUCAACCUCACACUCACACUCUGCAGCGUCCCCCCCGCAGCCACUGAGCUGCUGCUGCUUGCCGUCACAUUGGGCCGGAAGAGGAGGUUGCUUUGAUAUCAAUGGGGGGCUUAAAUUAAUGGGGGGGGGGGCUUUUAUUGAGGGAGGGGCUUCGUUUUGUACGGGGGGGUCGAUUUUGGGGUAAAAAUUGGUGGUUUUGGGGGUGGAAAAGCCAUAAAUCCCCUCCCCCCCCCCCCCCCAUAUUUGUAUUCAUUGAUAAUAAAGUAAGCCUGAA